rnacentral:rRNA from 1 species
CCUACGGGAGGCAGCAGUGAGGAAUAUUGGUCAAUGGACGAGAGUCUGAACCAGCCAAGUAGCGUGAAGGAUGACUGCCCUACGGGUUGUAAACUUCUUUUAUGGGAGAAUAAAGUGAGGUACGCGUACCUUAUUGUAGGUAUCCCAUGAAUAAGCAUCGGCUAAUUCCGUGCCAGCAGCCGCGGUAAU